UGAUUCGAUUAUGAGUAUAAUCGAUUAAUCGUACCUGUUUUGCCAUCCCUAAUUUGAACCCUAAGAUGACUAUUAAACGACAAAUGAUUUCUUCGCUCGUUUUCUUUUCUUGAAAAUAGUUCGAUUUAAUUUCAUAAUUAGCAUUCUAUUUGAAUCUUGAAGGAGCAAAACAAUUCCCCAACGAACAUAUACAUCUGUAUCUGCGAUGAUGACAUAGUUGCGGCGAAGUGAUGGCCCCUCAAAGCAGAAGACAGCUCUCACUGCUCCUCAUCCUCCUCUUCCUCCUCCUCUCUCUCUCCUCUCUCUUCCUCUCCCCCUCCGCUCCCAACCCCCAAAUCCACUCGCCACUCCACUCACUCCCAACCCCAUCCCCUCCCCCCAACUUCACCUUUCUCAUCAAAGUCCUCACCUUCAACCGCCUCUCCUCUCUCUCCCGCUGCCUCAACUCUCUUGCCAAUGCCCACUACGAUGCCGCCGACAAAGUUCAUCUCCACAUCUACAUCGACCAUUUCCCUCUAGAUUCUGCCGAUUCCGACCAAAGAUUGAAUCUUUCCAAGCAGAUUCUUGAUUUCGUCGAUGGAUUCGAUUGGAGAUUCGGAGAGAAGCUGGUGCAUUACCGGACUUCCAAUGCCGGGCUGCAGGCGCAGUGGCUCGAAGCAUGGUGGCCUUCUUCUGAUCAUGAGUUUGCUUUCGUUGUUGAGGAUGAUCUCGAGGUUUCGCCCCUUUAUUACAGGUUUCUGAAGGCGGUGAUCUUGAAUUAUUACUAUAAUGCUACCAAUUUCAGUCCUUCCAUUUACGGGGCGUCGCUGCAGCGGCCGAGGUUUGUGCCAGGUAAACAUGGAAAUAAAAUGCAAUUAGAUGGUGAAUCUCAGAUUUUCUUGUAUCAGCUGGUUGGAACCUGGGGCCAACUUCUGUUCCCGAGACCUUGGAAAGAGUUCCGUCUGUGGUACAACAUGCAUAAGUCCAAAGGAGUGAAGCCUUUCCUAGACGGAAUGGUAACAAAUGGGUGGUACAAGAAGCUGGGAGAGAAAAUCUGGACUCCAUGGUUUAUCAAAUUUAUCCACUCUCGUGGGUACUUUAACAUUUAUACCAAUUUUCAUCACGAGCGAGCAUUGAGCGUUUCUCAUAGGGAUGCAGGGGUCAAUUACGGCAAAACAGCAGGACCCGAUUCUUACUUACUGGGUGAAAAUUCAGUCAAUUUCAACUUACUGGAAAUGUAUCCUUUGAUGGAUAUCAAGUGGUAUGAUUUCUGCUUCAGACAAGUAGUGACCAACAGAAUCGUUACGAGUUCAAACGAACUUGUUAAUGUUCUUCAAUCUGUGCAGCACAAAAAAUUUGUUUUGCUAGUGAGGUUGUAUGGAGUACCUGAAACGGUUGUCAGGAAUAUGCUCUGCCACUUUGAGGGGCUGAAUAUUCGAAAUUACAUCUUGGUUGGCCCAACAUCUGAUUUCCUAAUUGAUCUUGCAAGAAGGGGGCACCCCGUGCUUGAUGCCAGCAGCUUUUCUGAUUUCAGCAAACUUUCCAAGUCCAUCAAUUUUCAAGAUUCGACUAUGGAACUGUUCAAAGAAAUUCUAGUGGUGGCAUCUGUGACUAGAAAGAAUUUGGAGCUUGGCUAUAACACCUGGGUGCUUGAUGGAAACAUGCUUCCACGUAAUAAUGAAUCAUUUUUGGAUACAUUUGACCGCGGAAAUGAUUUGUAUGUCGGGAAGGCUAGUAGGCUUCUCUUUGUCCGGAGCUCAUCAUCUACUUUGAAGAUUUGGGCUGGUGAUUUCCCUUUCAAGAUUGCUUCAUCGGUGGAGACUUUGGGAAAACCAUCAGUUUCUACGCCCAUUUUUUUCUAUGCUGUUGAGAAUUUACUGAAAAAGCAGAGUGUCGAAUUUAAGAACAUUGAUGAGAUGCACCUUGGCUUGGAUUUUGGUGCUCUUCAAGCUAACUCAUCCUCAUUUGAUAGGGAUAAUAAAUUUAUUAUCUGGUCUUCGGAGACAGAGUUGGAUUUAUUACAGAAGCAACUUGCACAUAUAGAUUUGUGGUUUUUGGAUGGCGAUUCAUCAUGUUCUUCAGUUGUUUGCCAUCCAUUGUAGCAUUUGCUUAUGGUAAAGGAGUAAAUAUAGAAGAUAUUCGUUGAAAAGGGAGCUGAUUUCUGAACGCUUUUGCUCGGACCAACAAUGUGAUGAUGUUGAAAGUAGUUCAGAGUGAUUGAGGUCGUUUACAUUUAAGGCAAGAGCAUCUUACAUAAUCUUGAGGAGGUUAUACGACACAAAAAUCUUAAGCAACAACACCACUUCUAAUGAGGAAUCUUCCUCUUCCUAUGAGGCCCCUUAUGUUUGGAAGUAGAUUCAGGAGCAGUUCCUCAUGCCUUUUGGCUUUGCAUUAAGCUACUGGAGAGAGCAAAAGUAAGCCUGCCUACCUCAUAAUCUCUCACUGCAAGCUGGCCACUAGGCUAAACACCUGGCUAAGCUAAACUCAAUCAAUUGAAGGACAAAAAGGUACAUUGGAUUUUAUUGAAUAGGAUCUAAUUCCUUGUUAUUAAUUGGCUGAGAAACGAUAGGCAAAACUCCUCAAUAAUUCAGGCUGAUUACUACAAUAGUUGCUGGAACAUUAUGUAGCAGGAUUGAAUAUUACUCCAAAGGAUUAGUUUUGUCUUCGUCGGACUCUUUUACUUCUGAUCUAUACUUGUACCAUGAUGCCCAGUAGAGAUAGUUUACAAAAUUCAGGGUGCUAAGGAUGGCUAGAAACCAGUAGAAGUAGUCGAGCUUGUAAUGAUUCAAGGGUGGCUCGAGCUCCGGUGCCUGCAGCCAACCUUGUUUGUCUCCUGAAACCUUCUCUGUGACGGCAUUCACGAUGUUCACAAAGGCAGUGCUCAAGAAAUAGCCGAAAGACAGUGACAGCAGCGCGAAAGAUGUGGAAAGAGACCUCAUUCCGGAUGGAGCUUCGCUGUAGAAGAAUUCCAUCAGUCCGACCAUUGCAAACAUGUCUGCAAUCCCAAAGACUCCAUAUUGGAACGAGAGCCAGAAAAGACUAAUCGGCUUGAACGGGUCCUUGAGAGCCUGAUCUUUUCUUUUCACCUCGACCACAGCGGCUAUCCCCAUUGAGAUUAUAGACAGGACCAGCCCGACGCCUACACGCUGGAGCUGAGUUAUUCCAUUAGGAUGACCUGUGAUCUUUCGGGCAAACGGGAUGAAGAGGAACUCGUAGAGUGGAAGGAGAAUGACCAUGAAGAGUAAAGGGAUUACGGGUAUUGAAGGAGUGGGAAUGUUCAGUGUGGCCAAGUGAGGUUCCAUGAAGUAUCCUUGGACUACUGAGAAAGUCUGGAGCUGUGCCAAGCACGUAUUCAUUAUAAUCGUGCUGGCAAAGAUCGGUAGCAUCCUUAUCAAUAUCUUCACUUCUUCUACUUGUGUCACCGUGCAGCCUCUAUCUGGUUGGCUGGGAAUAGCAGCUUUGUCUAGGAACCUAGUUUCAAACGACCCGAUAUUAGCUCAAAGAGCAUGAGAUUUAAUGUCAACGAUGGAUACGUUUUAGCAGUAUACCUGAACUGGUUGGUGUGUGCAAGUUCCUCUGCAGAAGUAUCUUUCUCUUUAUCAUCAGCCUCAUACAGCUCGACCGAGCUCUCAGGAAAUUUCAGGUAGAUGAUGGUGAAGUGAAACACAGACCUGUGAUACCCUGACAAUGGGGCUGUUGGCCAGUGGUUGGAACAAGUAGAAUCGCUUUCCGAGUGCAAGCACGAAGAAGCCAACGAACGCUGUAGCCAAGCCCGUGAAGAAAGCCCAGUGCCAUCCCCUGUUCAACGCAAUCCACACGACUGCCGUCACUCCUAUCAACGAUCCAACCGUUGUGCUGAACUGGUAAAAGUUGAAGUAGCUCGCAACGCCCUUCGCUCCUUCGGUGUCGGUCCGGUCAAAUUGAUCCGCCCCGAGUGCAGCCACGGAUCCCUUGACUCCACCACAGCCCAAAGCUAAGAUGCAUAGGGAAGCAUAGAACAUGGCAGCGUCAGUGCCCCCGAUGCAGCUCGGCUUGUUGCAAGGGACGAUCUGCGAUUUCCUGGAGUGUGCUUGGAUUGUCAACAUCAGUAGACCCUGUGAGAAAACAGAAGCUCUGAGCACAAGUUGGUCGAAGAAAUGAAGGGAAAUGAGAAAGGGGUUUACCGUAAUUUCGAGAAAUCCGAAAAUGAGGCAGGUAUGCAGCCGGCUCAAGUACGUGUCGGAGAUGAAGCCUCCAAGAACGGUGAGCAAGAACGUCGAGCCUAGGAAGUUGGUGAGCGUGUUUGCCGCCGACGAGAGGUCGAAAAACAGGUGGAAGUAGAGAACCAUGCUCGACAUGUUUGCUACAAAUCCGAUGUUCUCCAACAUUGCCAACACUGAAACAGAAAAAAUGGAAACAAGAAUCACAUUCUCGCAAUCUUUCUACUUGGAUCUAUUGUUUGAGUUGCGCGAAGGGAUCGGUGAGAAUUGAACCCAAGACUUCUAACUUACCGAAAACGAACAUGCAUGCCCUGAAUCCACCCUGUCUUUCAGGAUCAUCAUACCUCAUUUUUUUCCUGAUUUAUUAGAAUCGUAUGAACUUGUUGAACGUGAAUUCCAUAAUCUAAGUUGAUUUAUACA